rnacentral:rRNA from 1 species
AGUGAACGCUGGCGGUAGGCCUAACACAUGCAAGUCGAACGGCAGCACAGUAAGAGCUUGCUCUUACGGGUGGCGAGUGGCGGACGGGCGAGGAAUACAUCGGAAUCUACUUUUUCGUGGGGGAUAACGUAGGGAAACUUACGCUAAUACCGCAUACGACCUACGGGUGAAAGCAGGGGAUCUUCGGACCUUGCGCGAUUGAAUGAGCCGAUGUCGGAUUAGCUAGUUGGCGGGGUAAAGGCCCACCAAGGCGACGAUCCGUAGCUGGUCUGAGAGGAUGAUCAGCCACGCUGGAACUGAGACACGGUCCAGACUCCUACGGGAGGCAGCAGUGGGGAAUAUUGGACAAUGGGCGCAAGCCUGAUCCAGCCAUACCGCGUGGGUGAAGAAGGCCUUCGGGUUGUAAAGCCCUUUUGUUGGGAAAGAAAAGCAGCAGGUUAAUACCCCGCUGUUCUGACGGUACCCAAAGAAUAAGCACCGGCUAACUUCGUG